AAGACACUAGUUAAGCUGUCCAUAACACCGCUUUGUCAAGGCGGAGUCGUGGGUUAAAUCCCCGCGUGUCUUG
rnacentral:tRNA from 1 species